UACGUAGGUGACAAGCGUUGUCCGGAUUUACUGGGCGUAAAGAGCGCGCAGGCGGUCGUUCAAGUCGAGUGUGAAAGCCCCCGGCUCAACUGGGGAGGGUCACUCGAUACUGAUCGACUCGAAGGCAGGAGAGGGUAGUGGAAUUCCCGGUGUAGUGGUGAAAUGCGUAGAUAUCGGGAGGAACACCAGUGGCGAAGGCGACUACCUGGCCCGAUACUGACGCUGAGGCACGAAAGCGUGGGGAGCAAACAGG
rnacentral:rRNA from 1 species